GGGGGGGGGCUUUGCCUCCCUCCUUCACUCGCCCACCUGCUGUCCCUCGUUCACUCACCCCGCUGGGACCCAGCAGGGUGAGUGAGUGAGUGAGAAAGAGCAGGGGAGGACAUUUGCCUUGAAUAAUAAGGAGUGUCGGGUAAGCGAACUCAGAUAAGCGGGACUCUACUGUAUAUAUUGAAGGGGAGGGGCUUCUACACUGCCAGAUAAUCCAAGUUAUCAAAUCAGAAAAUCCAUAUUAUGUGCUUUGGAGUGGAUUAUCUUAGAGCCCUUCAAGACAGGCCUUAUAUCCCGGGAUCUGAUCCUGGGUUUUCUGUUUAUCCCAGAUUAUCUGGCAAUGGGGACUCAUAAAUCCAGGUUAAAUCAGAAAACCUGGGAUCAGAGCCUAGGAUAUAGGGCCUGUCUGGAAGGGCCCUUAGUUUACACUGCCAUAUAAUCCAGUUCAAAGCAGACAAUGUAGAAUUUAUACAGCUGUGUAGAAGGGGCCAUUGAGAGAUUGUUUCCAAAAGGCAACAAAACCUUAAAUAAUAAAUAAAUAAAUAAAUAAAUAAAUUGAAAAAUAAGUUAUAGGUAGCAGCACAUUGUUGGCUAGGAGUCAAAUAUUAUGUUCAGAUCAAAACGAUCUAAAUGUAUGCAAUCACUUCUGUACAGGGCUUGGAAAAUUGCCUGUAAUAGCAAAAGAAUGCAUAUCAUCAGCAUAGUUUUAAAAAUGCCUAUAAAAUUUGUUCAGAUUGAUUUGUUACCUUUUGGAAACAAGCUCCACAUUUAUAAAACAUGUUCAGUAACAGCUAUUCCUGCUUCAAUAAAAAUGUUUUCACCUGCCAGUGAAGAGAAAGCAGACAGGGGCCUCAUGGCUUCCCACAGAAAAGAGUUCAAUAACUUGUUGGGCAGCCACUGAGAAGGCUCUCUCUUGUGUCCUCAUGUGAUGGUGAAGGGACUGAAAGAAACCUUCCUUUGUAAAUCUUAAUAUUCUGUCAGGUUGUUAUAUGAAUAUGCAUUCUUUCAGAUAGUCUGGACCAAAACCGUCUAGUGCUUUAUAGGUCUACAAUUCUGUAGUUGGGGUGAUGAAAAUGCUAAGUUACACCAUCAUAACUAUUGCCAUCAUCUAUAUGUGCACAUACCAAGAGUGGCAGGGGAAACCCAUAAUUUGGAAAAUCUCAAAAUGGUGCAAAAAUAGCACAUUGUAUCCACAGUAUUUAUGGAAAUCACCUAAGUGUAUGAAUUGGGAACUGUGCUGGCCAUGAUGCCCACAAGCCACACACAAAGCUAGUGCCUGUGAAUACAUGAUAGCAAAGAAAUUCCCCAUUUUGUAGCACAAUCCACAGCAAAAUGGCAAAGCAGCAUACCCGCUCUGUGAACCCAAGAGACAUUGACAGUAUUUACCACACUGCAUCAUUUCUGAGAAAUCCCUCCAAGUGAGGGCUCAGGUCCCCUUUUGUUGAUCCCAAGACAUAUUUCUGACAGAAGGCAUAAAGGAAGAAACAUAGCUAUGUAGGAGAAAAAGCUAAUCUGGAGUACACCCAGUUGCUUUGGCGGAGAUGUUCAAGACCUGCCCAGCAAUAAUAAAGAACCUUUUGACAAGUAGACAAAAAGCCAGGAGGACCUGCAACAAGCACAAACACAUGAGAGCAAUCCAGUGUGCAACAUCAUAGACAUGGGAUGGAGAAUCUUGACCUUAAAUUAUUAUUAUUGAUCACGGUAUUUUGCAAAUGACUCAUUUCCAUUGUGCCUAAACAGAGGUUCAUGUUGCAUUACAAGACUCAAUGACUUUCAUCACCAGUUAGGAAGGGCAUAAGGUUCAUCACAUUAAUUUGAAAUAGGGCAAGAAAUAAAACUGAAACUAUUUACAGAAAUGCUCCAAUUUAAAGUAGUUCUAUUUAUUGCAUGAACUUGUUGAAUGCAUUUUCAUAGAUUCAUAGAAUCAUAGUCCAACCCCCUGCCAAGAAGCAGGAAAAUUGCAUUCAAAGCACCCCCGACAGAUGAACUUCCAGCCUCUGCUUAAAAGCCUCCAAAGAAGGAGCAUCCAGCACACUCUGGGGCAGAGAGUUCCACUGCUGAACAGCUCUCACAGUUAGGAAGUUCUUCCUAAUGUUCAAGUAGAAUCUCCUUUCCUGUAGUUUGAAGCCAUUACUCCGCAUCCCAGUCUCCAGGGCAGCAGUAGACAAGCUUGCUCCCUCCUCCCUAUGACUUCUUCUCACAUAUUUAUACAUGGCCAUCAUGUCUCCUCUCAGCCUUCUCUUCUGUAGGCUAAACAUGCUCUUUAAGUCACUCCUCAUAGGGCUUGUUUUCCAGACCCUUGAUCAUUUUAGUCUCCCUCCUCUGGAUACAUUUCAGCUUGUCAACAUCUCCCUUCGAUUGCAGUGCCCAGAAUUGGACACAGUAUCCUAGCUGUGGUCUUACCAAGGCAGAACAGAGGGGUAGCAUUACUUUCCUGGAUCUAGACACUAUACUCCUAUUUAUCAUUGAACCCCUUGCUUGGGGUCUCCAUUGAAAUUGCCAAAACCCUGAGCAUCUUUUUGUUUACUUGAUUGGAACGCAUUGUUUACCUGACUGGAACCCAAAUGGAAAGGAAUACCCCACUCCAUUCCUUUCCACUUGCAUCCCCCUCUUGGGCAGAUCAAAAACAGAUGCAAACCUUUAAAAUAAUAUGACAUUUUAUAAAAUUUCCCGUAACGACUGGAACCAACCAGCGAUGGCAUCGGAUAGAGACUUGGACAUAUCAGGAGGUGGAUCCUAACCAGAACCAUUUCAGAACAAUUAGAAUCUAGCAUGGUAGUUUUGAAUAGCCGUCAGAAGGCUAUACAUAAAUUUGUAUGCUUGCAAUUGCACCAUGUCCGUUUUUUUGGAGCACUGACUCUGCUGACAUCCUCUUUUGCUAUUGAAAAUAAAGCCUCUGAUCAUUGCCUUCUGCCCGUAUGUGUCGCAUUCGGUCUUUUGGAUCUAGACACACUGGGCCUGAAUCCACAGUCCUUAUAGAAAUUGAAAUUACAUAACAGGUAGAUAUGAGGACGUUGUGUCCCCUCAGUUGACUGGCAAUGUUUGGGAACAAGGAAACUAUCAUCUUACUUCUCUGGCUUCAUUCCCAUAGAAGUUUAUGCAGUGAGGAGCAGAUGUGCUGCCAAUGAACCCAUUUACCUUAAUUAUAUUGCAGAUGCCUUCCCCUCUUUGCAUCUUUAGAGAGAAAAACAUUUUAAGUUUGGGGUAACAUUGUUGCAAUACAAAUCAGUAUCACCAAUGUCAAUGAAGUUUUUCAACAAUUGAAACCAUAUUAAAGGUAUGUCAAUGUGUUGUCGAAGGCUUUCAUGGCCAGAAUCACUGGGUUGUUGUGCACUUUCCAGGAUGUAUGGUCAUGUUCCAGAAGCAUUCUCUCCUGACGUUUCACCCACAUCUAUGUUAGGCAUCCUCAGAGGUUGUGAGGUAUAUUGGAAAACUAAGCAAGGGAGGUUUAUAUAUCUGAGGAAGAUCCAGGGUGGGAGAAAGAACUCUUGUCUGUUUUAGGCCAGUGUAAAUGUUGUAAUUUAUCACCUUGAUUAGCAUUGAAAAGCCUUGCAGCUUCAAUGCCUGGGUGAUUCCUGCCUGGGGGAAUCCUUUGUACUAAGGUGUUAGUUAGAUUCAUGUCUGUAAUUCCUCUGUUUUCAGGGCGUGGUUCUUAAUUUACUAUUUUGAUUUUAGAGGGUUUUUUUAAAAAAAAUUAUAAGUUUUGUGAGCAACUUUGAUACAGUUCUUAUUAUGACAAGAAUGUCUUUUCUGGAUACAAUAAAAGCAAUUGAACAAUAUAACACAGACAAUGUGAAAGAAGGUGUGAGGGGUGUGAUUUUAGAGUUUUUUUUUAAAUACUGGUGUCCAGAUUUUGUUCAUAAUCAUGGUUUCCUCAUUUCUGUUGAAAUUGUCCAUAUGUUUGUGGAUUUCAAUGGCUUCUCUGUGACAUGAUAGUUGUUAGAGUGGUCCAGCAUUUCUGUGUUCUCAAAUAUUAUACUGUGUUCUGGUUGGUUCAUCAAGUGGUCCUCUAUGGCUGACUUCUCUGGUUCAGUCAAUCUGCAGUGCCUUUCAUGUUCCUUGAUUCAUGUUUGGGUGCUCUGUUUCUUUCUCCCACCUUGGAUCUUCCACAGAUAUAUCAACCUCCCUUGCUUAGUUUUCCAAUAUACCUCACAACCUCUGAAGAUGCCUGCCAUAGAUGUGGGUGAAACAUCAAGAGAGAAUGCUUCUGCAACAUGGCCACACAGCCCAGAAAACUCACAUCAACCCAGUGAUUCCGGCCAUGAAAGCCAUCAACAACACAUAGUACUGUGGUUGAUUCUUGUGUCAUUUCCUCUACAGCCUUUUGCUGUGAUUAAUAGUUUGCAGUAUCAAUAUAAAUAACAGUUGAAAGGACUUAAAUAUACUCACAACCUCUGGGGAUGCCUGCCAUAGAUGUGGAUGAAAUGUCAGGAGAGAAUGCUCCUGGAACAUAACCAUACAGCCUGGAAAAUGCACAACAACCCAAGGUAAGAACAAAAGAGCAAGAAGAAACAAUACAGCAACACAACACUGCCAGGCAACUACCCUGAUUCUGCCAGUCCCAUGGAGGAGAUCUUGUUAUCUUCACAUGAGCAGUUCCUAUUGAAUAGUUCUGCUUGACAAGGUACAAAAUUCCAGCUGUGCUGGAACUUGGCCUUCUUCCAAAAACUUGGGCUGAGUUGAUGGUGAACUGGG